rnacentral:tRNA from 1 species
GCUGGAGUACUCAAGUGGACAACGAGGGCAGACUGUAAAUCUGCUGCUUCACGGCUACGGGGGUUCGAAUCCCUCCUCCAGCACCA